ensembl:lncRNA
GGGGAUCUGUGAUCUGCUGUGCAGGGGUUGGUCUGGAAGAGUGUACAUUAUGGCUUACACCUUCAUAAAACAAGCAUGCUCCUAACACACAUUGUGAGAUAACUCCAUGUGGCUAGCGAGUUUCUGUCAUAUCAACAAUGAGAGGUAUGUAAUAUUAGCUCGGGUCCGCAGUUAAUAGAUAAACAGAGUUGACAGUUGAAUUUUGUCAUGAUGUUGCCAACGCUCGGUUAAACGGAUGCAUGGAAGACUUACUUCAUCCAUGAAAAUACCAGCACCACUGUUGAUUCAUUAAAGCCAAUAUUUCAGCUGACAUUUUACAUGUGUUCAUACAGUGACAGGAACCUCAAUAUGUUAACUCCGUCAGUUAUAAUUCCUUUUUGCUGUAUUUACCACAAAACCUCUGGUAAAACAAAACACUCUUGCACUUGUUGUCCACUCACGUCACAUUUAAUCAAUAAGCAACUUACAAAUAGUUUACUCAGUUGCAACACAGUUAUAGUCUGCAAGUUAGCAGAUCAGACAACAUUAGGUUAGGUCCAGAUUGACUGAGUCGGUCAGGUUACGGCAAAUCGUCCACAUUUUAAGGAGGGCCUUAACAUCUGCAGAGGAGAGCAUCAGAAUGUCAUAACCUACUUACACCAUUAUCUAACUAAAGCCUCUUUGGACAGCAUGUCAGAUCGGUGUGGUCAAACCCAUGGGGGAAAAAUGAUGAAAUGUCCAGAAAUGGAAAAAAAAAAAAAAAAAAAAAACACACAACAUGAAAAUAUGUAAAGCUGAUUACAUGAUGAGGGAUUCUUACACAACUGGUUUUCAGCAUAGACAGCCAUCUGUCAUCUGUGAAUGACUGGCUCGUUUUCUGCAUUGUUUGUGGAGCAAACAGGACUUCCUGAUAUCACGUUUCUAUAAAAAAAAUAUUCUUCAUUGAUUAUGUAGGCCAAUGCAUGGUACCCCAAACAAUUAUCAGUAAGAAUCACCAUUUUUCACACAAAGAACCAGUUGCUGGCAGAAGGGCUUUCCUCAACGCAUGGAAUCAAGGAAAGUCUUAACCUUUUGGACUCAAACCUUUUAACUACUGUGCAUACUUAGGUGGGGCUUGUUGUGGUCAUUGUUGCAUAUUAAUUAAAUGCAAGUAGAAUAGAAGCAUCAACUCUCUAUGUUUUCAACAUAGUCAAGCUGUGUAGCCAGCAAGUAAAACAAAACUGUAAAUGUACUGCAAUGGAAAGAAAAUGGUGAAUUAACCAUCAAGGACCUUGCAGGUUUAGUUUCACUGCAUCAACUCUGUGUGAACUUUCCCAACAUUAUUCAGACAGAGUUCCAGAAACAACUGUAACUGCAUCACAUUCAAUUUUCCUGUUUCCUGCAGCACAGUCCGAAAGCAAAAGAGAGGGAGAAAAGAUAAGAGACACCGAGAAAAAGAGCAGAGGGGGUGCACGAGGGAUCUAGUUUAAAAAAGGUGCUAGCAGUUUUGAAGCAGUGAUCCCUCUUUGUGUUGGCUGCCCAUGGUUCACUGCGCUGGCAGAAGGCUAAGAAAGAUGUAUGACUACCCAUCUUUUUUACAGUAUAUCAUUCGAGCACCAUGUUGUAGUGUUAAAUGAGCUCUGUGUGCAUUCACAUCUUUUUUCAGUCCCACAUAAAUAAGACUUCAUGACCAGGAAACUCAACCUGAUCCAAACCAAACAUUGUUAACAACCACAGCCCGGAGUACUGGGCACAGAGACAACAAGCAAACUAAUGUCUUCAUUAAACAGUAAAAUAGGCACAGAUUACCAGGAGUGCUGAACCUGCCAUACAAAAUCCAGGGCCAGGCUGAGGUAAUCUGUUGUUGUUUUUAGUUUUUUUUUGCCUGAGGGAGGAACACAUCAGACUAUUGUUCCAGGGCCUUUAUGGGACCACAGACUGAAGACCUUGGGAUCGUCAUGUUCUGUAUGACAUCAUCCGCUGGAACAACUGAGGGUGAAACAGUCACAAUAACCACAGAGGGAGUAUGAAGUUUGCCCUGCAUGUCCCCUCAGGUAAAUUAAAUGACUGAUGAAAAUCCUUCAGGGCUUUCAAAAUCACUAAAUGUUUCCAGAACAUUAAUCUGCUGGAAGAAGGUAGGUAUAUUUCUUUCUCCACUGGAAGUUUCUUCAAUGUAGUGUUUCAAUUAGAAUAUUCAAGAAACUGUUACAUUUCCUUUCAGCAUUUUCAUGCCAUAGACUACUGAAUGUGAUUCACUAGCUAACUGGCCUACACAUUAGGGUCCUCUAGGUGAGAAUAUUAUUAAAAUACAUAAAAAUAGGCCUACAUAAAUCCUGUGUGCAUAUUAACUUUGUAUACAUGCCACAUUGCAUGAAAGAGAAAACACCUCACUAGAUCUAUGCUAAUUGAGCUUGGUGAGGACAAAGAACAGAGCCCAGAACAUAUUACUAAACUCCUGUCGAGGAAAUUACCUCUGGAACAGCCUUAUGCAAAUCAAUGACAAUGAUUUCCAUGCCCCACGCAGCUGUAUUUGUGAUCUAUGCUGUUUACAAUACAAACACCUGCCUUCUGAACAAUGCAACGAACAAAGUAAGAAUCGUAGCCCAACAAUGUGAAUUGCAAAUGACACCUUGUCGCCUUUGAGUGCGACUACCGUUGCUAUCUAUAAACACUGACGUGCAAAGGUUCGUUUGAAAUGAAUGAGUCUCUUUAAUUAUCUUUAAUGUCUACUACCUAACACUGUGCAGCUUCUAUCUUCCUAUUGAGAUUACGGACUACUACACGGGUGUCAGAGAAAGACAAGUCGAAGGUCAGUGUAUAUUGAGCAACUGAGGCCUGUGCCAUACCGCUUACCUCACCUGUGCGUGGCGGCUUUUCAUUUCGGCACCCACAGGUUAAGUUAGAGCAGCCUGUGUGAGACGCGCGUCUGAGGCGCGGCUCGUCAGCUACCAUUUCGGCGUGGAGACUUAUUUUUCACCCGUGAGGUGCGCGUUUCUCAGCCAAAUUAGACAGCAAAAAAGACAAAAAUAAACAAGCUAGCAGUAGUAGCACCUCAACGAUGUGGCCAUACACUUGCGUGCGAACCUCAGCAGCUCGGCAAGGUUGCAGUCACGCACAGGCCCACUUUCCGGUGGAUCCGAACUGCUCAACUUUCUCUUCUCGGUCCUCUUCAUGGUGUAGGUAGUACCUGGAUUCAAUCAAGAGCUAGUAGACGGAGUCAUUCAUUGAAACUUGUGCGAUUCCCCGCUUGUGGGUUUAGCAGGUUAGCCUUUUAUCUGUCCAACACAUUGGUCAACGUUGUGGUUUGCAGAAAUUCAUUACGUUUCUGGAACACUCCAUCAAGAUAAGGUAGUGGUAUUUUCUCACAAAAUAAAAGCCCACACAACAAAGUGUUUCUGCGUUGAUUUUUGUCGCGAACAGUGAGAGCAAGCUAACUAACUAGCAACUUCAGUCGCACUGGCUUGUUGGUUACGUUUGAAACUACAUGAUGAGGCUUGUCAUUCGGUGGAGUCUUGAUGCUAAGUUCAUGUUGGCUAGCACUUCGCGCGAGAGGCUAGCUAUCAGUGCCCAGACUGAAAAGUUAGUAUCAACGUAUGCAAAGGCAUACAAAUAAUCAAAAACUGUGGACUUUCAAUGAAAACAAAGAUGUUCGACACCGACUUCACGUACUAAGUGACGUCAUCACCGUAAUGUUCCGUUUAAAACAGCUAAGUUAAUUUCAGUGACCAUCAAAGCUUUCAAGAAAUGAAACAAUUGCGAAUAGUUGCUGAGCCAGUUUACACCACGAAUCCGACCUACCGGGUCCCCGUCGAGUAAAAUUUCGUUAGCUUAGCUAACGUUAGCUGUGACAAUUUAAACAGAACUAGUAUCACUGUUCUGUCCUAUCACCACAGUUGUCUCCUCCAACGCCGGAGCUAGCUUCCUUGAGCUAAAAUAUAAUGUCAUUGAAUAUCCCAUGAAAAACGUUUCUUGGCAACACAACAAAUGUAGAUUCUUCUUCGGUUCCCGCGGCGAUAUGCUUAUGUUUCAGCGAAGUAUGUCAAUUACACCAUGUAUCCCCUGCACGUUUAGCUCGCGUUCCGCUGGAGACACGUACUGACAAGUAUCGCAUGUCCAGUCUGUCAGGUAGGUGUAAAAUGUGCGACACAACCGCUUCUUGUCUGCAUUGGACUGGUAACGUGUGAUGCUAUUGAAGAAUGGGUUCAUCCGGUUAGCGAGAUACCUUCUCCUCCAGUACCCCCACAGGCGGUGAUAUAUUGCUGCAGAUGCAAUACCCCGGCAACCAGUGUGAAGAUCUCCACAUGACUUGCUUCCUGAAUCUUGUCUCAAGCGUAAUGUCAGUGGAUGUUUACUUGAUAACUGAUCGAAGGUCAGAGUGACUAAUACGUUGACCAAAUGCUAUAACGUAAAGGGAGUUUAGGCUGAUUUCACAUCAGUUUAAAAAUCAGCAAGGAAAAAUGCAGACGAAAAAAAAGUGAGGCUGUUUGCUGCUUAGCCGGUUAGUUAUUUUGCAGUUUGCUGCCAUCUUCUGUCUGCUGACAGUUGUUACCCUUCUCAAUGGAUUUUAAAAUGACUGCAUCGAUAUGUUACGAUCCAGAUUGAAUUUCUGUUAUUUACAUGUUGGUUAAUGCACUUAAACCUGCACGUGUUUCGAUACACGGGAAAUGUAAUUCAUUUUGGCCUAUAAGUGGGGCAGUUAAACUCGUGCAUUUUAUGAUAAAAGCAUCACCUAUGGUAAAACAUUAACAAGUUAAUUUAACAUUCACUUUUACCUUUAUUUAUAUACAUUUUAUCUAUUCAGUGUCUCCAUUGACUCAUUAGACCCAUUGCAUC